GGUGUUUUAGUCUCCCCCACUAGGAACAUUCGUCCCCAAAUAACAGAAAAGGUAGGGGUAAUCAUAUGCACAGGUCAUUUGCAUUAUCAAAUAUAUUCCCAAUCUUUAACAAAGUUUGAAAACAAAGAGGCAAAGACAUUAAUUUUCCUUUAACAAACUCAUAAAAUAAAGAUGUGGUGAAGACACAUACUUUCUGCACGAAUCCCAGGAG
rnacentral:lncRNA from 1 species